rnacentral:rRNA from 1 species
UGGGGAAUCUUGCACAAUGGGCGAAAGCCUGAUGCAGCAACGCCGCGUGCGGGAAGACAGCCCUAGGGUUGUAAACCGCUUUCAGCAGGGAAGAAACUGACGGUACCUGCAGAAGAAGAUGCGGCCAACUACGUGCCAGCAGCCGCGGUGACACGUAGGCAUCAAGCGUUAUCCGGAUUUAUUGGGCGUAAAGAGCUCGUAGGCGGUUCGGUAAGUCGGGUGUGAAAACUCUGGGCUCAACCCAGAGAGGCCACUCGAUACUGCUGUGACUAGAGUGCGGUAGGGGAGCGGGGAAUUCCUGGUGUAGCGGUGAAAUGCGCAGAUAUCAGGAGGAACACCAGUGGCGAAGGCGCCGCUCUGGGCCGUAACUGACGCUGAGGAGCGAAAGCAUGGGUAGCAAACAGGAUUAGAUACCCUGGUAGUCCAUGCCGUAAAACGUUGGGCACUAGGUGUGGGUCUCAACCAACGAGAUCCGCGCCGUCGCUAACGCAUUAAGUGCCCGCCUGGGAGUACGGUCGC